rnacentral:rRNA from 1 species
AUUGAACGCUGGCGGCAGGCCUAACACAUGCAAGUCGAGCGGAUGAAGGGAGCUUGCUCCUGGAUUUAGCGGCGGACGGGUGAGUAAUGCCUAGGAAUCUGCCUGGUAGUGGGGGAUAACGUCCGGAAACGGGCGCUAAUACCGCAUACGUCCUGAGGGAGAAAGUGGGGGAUCUUCGGACCUCACGCUAUCAGAUGAGCCUAGGUCGGAUUAGCUAGUUGGUGGGGUAAAGGCCUACCAAGGCGACGAUCCGUAACUGGUCUGAGAGGAUGAUCAGUCACACUGGAACUGAGACACGGUCCAGACUCCUACGGGGGGCAGCAGUGGGGAAUAUUGGACAAUGGGCGAAAGCCUGAUCCAGCCAUGCCGCGUGUGUGAAGAAGGUCUUCGGAUUGUAAAGCACUUUAAGUUGGGAGGAAGGGCAGUAAGUUAAUACCUUGCUGUUUUGACGUUACCAACAGAAUAAGCACCGGCUAACUUCGUG